UAUAUAUUCCCUUCGUCCGGAAAUACUUGUCAUACAAAUAAAUGUAUUUAGAACUAAUAUACAUCUAGAUACAUCCAUUUUUUGGACAAGUAUUUCCGGACGGAGAGAGUAUGUG
rfam:Triticum aestivum genome assembly, contig: Triticum_aestivum_CS42_TGACv1_scaffold_093740_2AL